rnacentral:rRNA from 1 species
GGGUUGUGAGGUUAAGCGACUAAGCGUACACGGUGGAUGCCCUGGCAGUCAGAGGCGAUGAAGGACGUGCUAAUCUGCGAUAAGCGUCGGUAAGGUGAUAUGAACCGUUAUAACCGGCGAUUUCCGAAUGGGGAAACCCAGUGUGAUUCGUCACACUAUCAUUAACUGAAUCCAUAGGUUAAUGAGGCGAACCGGGGGAACUGAAACAUCUAAGUACCCCGAGGAAAAGAAAUCAACCGAGAUUCCCCCCAGUAGCGGCGAGCGAACGGGGAGCAGCCCAGAGCCUGAAUCAGUGUGUGUGUUAGUGGAAGCGUCUGGAAAGGCGCGCGAUACAGGGUGACAGCCCCGUACACAAAAAUGCACAUAUUGUGAGCUCGAUGAGUAGGGCGGGACACGUGGUAUCCUGUCUGAAUAUGGGGGGCCCAUCCUCCAAGGCUAAAUACUCCUGACUGACCGAUAGUGAACCAGUACCGUGAGGGAAAGGCGAAAAGAACCCCGGCGAGGGGAGUGAAAAAGAACCUGAAACCGUGUACGUACAAGCAGUGGGAGCACGCUUAGGCGUGUGACUGCGUACCUUUUUGUAUAAUGGGUCAGCGACUUAUAUUCUGUAGCAAGGUUAACCGAAUAGGGGAGCCGAAGGGAAACCGAGUCUUAACUGGGCGUUAAGUUGCAGGGUAUAGACCCGAAACCCGGUGAUCUAGCCAUGGGCAGGUUGAAGGUUGGGUAACACUAACUGGAGGACCGAACCGACUAAUGUUGAAAAAUUAGCGGAUGACUUGUGGCUGGGGGUGAAAGGCCAAUCAAACCGGGAGAUAGCUGGUUCUCCCCGAAAGCUAUUUAGGUAGCGCCUCGUGAAUUCAUCUCCGGGGGUAGAGCACUGUUUCGGCAAGGGGGUCAUCCCGACUUACCAACCCGAUGCAAACUGCGAAUACCGGAGAAUGUUAUCACGGGAGACACACGGCGGGUGCUAACGUCCGUCGUGAAGAGGGAAACAACCCAGACCGCCAGCUAAGGUCCCAAAGUCAUGGUUAAGUGGGAAACGAUGUGGGAAGGCCCAGACAGCCAGGAUGUUGGCUUAGAAGCAGCCAUCAUUUAAAGAAAGCGUAAUAGCUCACUGGUCGAGUCGGCCUGCGCGGAAGAUGUAACGGGGCUAAACCAUGCACCGAAGCUGCGGCAGCGACGCUUAUGCGUUGUUGGGUAGGGGAGCGUUCUGUAAGCCUGCGAAGGUGUGCUGUGAGGCAUGCUGGAGGUAUCAGAAGUGCGAAUGCUGACAUAAGUAACGAUAAAGCGGGUGAAAAGCCCGCUCGCCGGAAGACCAAGGGUUCCUGUCCAACGUUAAUCGGGGCAGGGUGAGUCGACCCCUAAGGCGAGGCCGAAAGGCGUAGUCGAUGGGAAACAGGUUAAUAUUCCUGUACUUGGUGUUACUGCGAAGGGGGGGACGGAGAAGGCUAUGUUGGCCGGGCGACGGUUGUCCCGGUUUAAGCGUGUAGGCUGGUUUUCCAGGCAAAUCCGGAAAAUCAAGGCUGAGGCGUGAUGACGAGGCACUACGGUGCUGAAGCAACAAAUGCCCUGCUUCCAGGAAAAGCCUCUAAGCAUCAGGUAACAUCAAAUCGUACCCCAAACCGACACAGGUGGUCAGGUAGAGAAUACCAAGGCGCUUGAGAGAACUCGGGUGAAGGAACUAGGCAAAAUGGUGCCGUAACUUCGGGAGAAGGCACGCUGAUAUGUAGGUGAAGUCCCUUGCGGAUGGAGCUGAAAUCAGUCGAAGAUACCAGCUGGCUGCAACUGUUUAUUAAAAACACAGCACUGUGCAAACACGAAAGUGGACGUAUACGGUGUGACGCCUGCCCGGUGCCGGAAGGUUAAUUGAUGGGGUCAGCGCAAGCGAAGCUCUUGAUCGAAGCCCCGGUAAACGGCGGCCGUAACUAUAACGGUCCUAAGGUAGCGAAAUUCCUUGUCGGGUAAGUUCCGACCUGCACGAAUGGCGUAAUGAUGGCCAGGCUGUCUCCACCCGAGACUCAGUGAAAUUGAACUCGCUGUGAAGAUGCAGUGUACCCGCGGCAAGACGGAAAGACCCCGUGAACCUUUACUAUAGCUUGACACUGAACAUUGAGCCUUGAUGUGUAGGAUAGGUGGGAGGCUUUGAAGUGUGGACGCCAGUCUGCAUGGAGCCGGCCUUGAAAUACCACCCUUUAAUGUUUGAUGUUCUAACGUGGACCCGUGAUCCGGGUUGCGGACAGUGUCUGGUGGGUAGUUUGACUGGGGCGGUCUCCUCCUAAAGAGUAACGGAGGAGCACGAAGGUUGGCUAAUCCUGGUCGGACAUCAGGAGGUUAGUGCAAUGGCAUAAGCCAGCUUGACUGCGAGCGUGACGGCGCGAGCAGGUGCGAAAGCAGGUCAUAGUGAUCCGGUGGUUCUGAAUGGAAGGGCCAUCGCUCAACGGAUAAAAGGUACUCCGGGGAUAACAGGCUGAUACCGCCCAAGAGUUCAUAUCGACGGCGGUGUUUGGCACCUCGAUGUCGGCUCAUCACAUCCUGGGGCUGAAGUAGGUCCCAAGGGUAUGGCUGUUCGCCAUUUAAAGUGGUACGCGAGCUGGGUUUAGAACGUCGUGAGACAGUUCGGUCCCUAUCUGCCGUGGGCGCUGGAGAACUGAGGGGGGGCUGCUCCUAGUACGAGAGGACCGGAGUGGACGCAUCACUGGUGUUCGGGUUGUCAUGCCAAUGGCACUGCCCGGUAGCUAAAUGCGGAAGAGAUAAGUGCUGAAAGCAUCUAAGCACGAAACUUGCCCCGAGAUGAGUUCUCCCUGACCCUUUAAGGGUCCUGAAGGAACGUUGAAGACGACGACGUUGAUAGGCCGGGUGUGUAAGCGCAGCGAUGCGUUGAGCUAACCGGUACUAAUGAACCGUGAGGCUUAACCUUACAACGCCGAAG